UACAGAGGUCCCAAGCGUUGUUCGGAUUCACUGGGCGUAAAGGGUGCGUAGGUGGCGGGGUAAGUCUGAUGUGAAAUCUCCGAGCUUAACUCGGAAACUGCAUCGGAUACUGCUUUGCUCGAGGGUUGGAGGGGGGACUGGAAUACUUGGUGUAGCAGUGAAAUGCGUAGAUAUCAAGUGGAACACCAGUGGCGAAGGCGAGUCUCUGGACAACUCCUGACACUGAGGCACGAAAGCUAGGGGAGCAAAGAGGUUAGAUACCC
rnacentral:rRNA from 1 species